GGCCGGCUGGCCCAAUUGGCAAGGCGUCUGACUACGACUUCAUUCGAAGAAACCAGUAAUCAGGAGAUUUUGGGUUCGAGCCCCAAGUUGGUCA